GACGUAGGGGACGAGCGUUGUCCGGAUUCAUUGGGCGUGAAGCGCGCGUAGGCGGCCACGCAAGUCGGGUGUGAAAUCCCGGAGCUCAACUCCGGAACUGCACUCGAAACUGCGCGGCUUGAGGUAGGUAGGGGAGAUCGGAAUUCCUGGUGUAGCGGUGGAAUGCGCAGAUAUCAGGAGGAACACCGGUGGCGAAGGCGGAUCUCUGGGCCUUACCUGACGCUGAGGCGCGAAAGCGUGGGGAGCGAACAGG
rnacentral:rRNA from 1 species